UGGGGAAUAUUGCACAAUGGGCGCAAGCCUGAUGCAGCCAUGCCGCGUGUAUGAAGAAGGCCUUCGGGUUGUAAAGUACUUUCAGCGGGGAUGAAGGGAGUAAAGUUAAUACCUUUGCUCAUUGACGUUACCCGCAGAAGAAGCACCGGCUAACUCCGUGCCAGCAGCCGCGGUAAUACGGAGGGUGCAAGCGUUAAUCGGAAUUACUGGGCGUAAAGCGCACGCAGGCGGUCUGUCAAGUCGGAUGUGAAAUCCCCGGGCUCAACCUGGGAACUGCAUUCGAAACUGGCAGGCUAGAGUCUUGUAGAGGUGGGUAGAAUUCCAGGUGUAGCGGUGAAAUGCGUAGAGAUCUGGAGGAAUACCGGUGGCGAAGGCGGCCCCCUGGACAAAGACUGACGCUCAGGUGCGAAAGCGUGGGGAGCAAACAGG
rnacentral:rRNA from 1 species